CCUACGGGUGGCAGCAGUGGGGAAUAUUGGACAAUGGGCGAAAGCCUGAUCCAGCCAUGCCGCGUGUGUGAAGAAGGCCUUCGGGUUGUAAAGCACUUUCAGUGGGGAAGAAAGCCUUGGGGCUAAUACCCUCGAGGAAGGACAUCACCCACAGAAGAAGCACCGGCUAACUCCGUGCCAGCAGCCGCGGUAAUACGGAGGGUGCGAGCGUUAAUCGGAAUUACUGGGCGUAAAGCGCGCGUAGGCGGUCUGAUAAGCCGGUUGUGAAAGCCCCGGGCUCAACCUGGGAACGGCAUCCGGAACUGUCAGGCUAGGGUGCAGGAGAGGAAGGUAGAAUUCCCGGUGUAGCGGUGAAAUGCGUAGAGAUCGGGAGGAAUACCAGUGGCGAAGGCGGCCUUCUGGACUGACACUGACGCUGAGGUGCGAAAGCGUGGGUAGCAAACAGGAUUAGAUACCCGAGUAGUC
rnacentral:rRNA from 1 species